rnacentral:rRNA from 1 species
UGAGUUUGAUCAUGGCUCAGGACGAACGCUGGCGGCGUGCCUAAUACAUGCAAGUCGAGCGCGGGAAGCAGACGGAAUCCUUCGGGAGGAAGACUGUGGAACGAGCGGCGGAUGGGUGAGUAACACGUGGGCAACCUGCCUAUAAGCUUGGGAUAACUUACGGAAACGUGAGCUAAUACCAAAUGAAGUCUUUUAUCGCCUGAUAAAAGAAUAAAAGGCGGCACUUUGUGCUGUCACUUAUAGAUGGGCCUGCGGUGCAUUAGCUAGUUGGUGGGGUAAUGGCCUACCAAAGCAACGAUGCAUAGCCGACCUGAGAGGGUGAUCGGCCACACUGGGACUGAGACACGGCCCAGACUCCUACGGGAGGCAGCAGUAGGGAAUCUUCCGCAAUGGACGAAAGUCUGACGGAGCAACGCCGCGUGAGUGAUGAAGGUCUUCGGAUCGUAAAACUCUGUUGUUAGGGAAGAACAAGUAUCGGUCGAAUAAACCGGCACCUUGACGGUACCUAACCAGAAAGCCCCGGCUAACUACGUGCCAGCAGCCGCGGUAAUACGUAGGGGGCAAGCGUUGUCCGGAAUUAUUGGGCGUAAAGCGCGCGCAGGCGGUCUUUUAAGUCUGAUGUGAAAUCUUGUGGCUCAACCACAAGCGGCCAUUGGAAACUGAAAGGCUUGAGUGCAGAAGAGGAGAGUGGAAUUCCACGUGUAGCGGUGAAAUGCGUAGAUAUGUGGAGGAACACCAGUGGCGAAGGCGACUCUCUGGUCUGUAACUGACGCUGAGGUGCGAAAGCGUGGGUAGCGAACAGGAUUAGAUACCCUGGUAGUCCACGCCGUAAACGAUGAGUGCUAGGUGUUAGGGGGUUUCCGCCCCUUAGUGCUGAAGUUAACGCAUUAAGCACUCCGCCUGGGGAGUACGGCCGCAAGGCUGAAACUCAAAAGAAUUGACGGGGGCCCGCACAAGCGGUGGAGCAUGUGGUUUAAUUCGAAGCAACGCGAAGAACCUUACCAGGUCUUGACAUCCUUCUGCCUACUCUAGAGAUAGAGUUUUCCCUUCGGGGACAGAAGUGACAGGUGGUGCAUGGUUGUCGUCAGCUCGUGUCGUGAGAUGUUGGGUUAAGUCCCGUAACGAGCGCAACCCUUAAUAUUAGUUGCCAGCAUUAAGUUGGGCACUCUAAUGUGACUGCCGGUGACAAACCGGAGGAAGGUGGGGAUGACGUCAAAUCAUCAUGCCCCUUAUGACCUGGA